GGAAUAAUGGAAGAGUAAAUCUCAUCUUGAAGAAUGGAAGAUUGAAUUCUACAAAAUACAUAAGGAAAAAACAUGAAGAUGCAGUCAUGGGGUGUAUCUUGUUUGUCACUUGCUGCUAAGAUGGAGGAAGCUGAAAUUAGUUGAUAAAUUGUUCUUGUUAGGGUGUGUUUGAGAUUUACAUUUGUACAAUCUACAAUAGAGUUAGAUACAGACAAAUUGGGAUACAUUAUUUCUUUUAUAAUUGACAAUUCAGUUUAUAUUGAAAUUGAAUAUUUUACAA